rnacentral:ncRNA from 1 species
UGGCGGAGGAGAUAAUAGGGAAACAGGUGAAAAUCCUGUGCGAUCUCGUCACUGUAAUAGGCGAGCAGGCAGCAGUGCGCUCUGCGCAGUCACUGAUCACUCCAUUGGGAAGGCGGCUGUCUGUGAGGACCCUUGAGUCAGGAGACCUGCCGGUUAUGGU